UACGUAGGGGCCAAGCGUUGUCCGGAUUUAUUGGGCGUAAAGAGCUCGUAGGCGGUUCGGCAAGUCAGCUGUGAAAUCUCCACGCUCAACGUGGAGGGGUCAGCUGAUACUGCUGUGACUUGAGUCCGGUAGGGGAGUGUGGAAUUCCCGGUGUAGCGGUGAAAUGCGCAGAUAUCGGGAGGAACACCAGUAGCGAAGGCGGCACUCUGGGCCGGUACUGGACGCUGAGGAGCGAAAGCGUGGGGAGCGAACAGG
rnacentral:rRNA from 1 species